UACAAGAGCUUGGAUUGGAGCUCCUAGCCAGACGGGAGGAGCACGAGUUUUCUGUCCGCAAAGAAGAACUGGCCCUGGCACAGCGUAGGCUAGAGUAUGACGAAAGGAAGCUCGCUUUCGAAGAAGAAAAGCACAGAUGUGGCCAAAAAAAUGUCUAUCCCUUUGGAUACCCAUAUUCUUCUCAUUGUGUACGGUAUGAAGUGCAGCGUCGAGCUGAAGAAAGAGAGCAGCUUUUGGAACGACUGGAAAACCUCGAGAGACGUGUCGAUAAAGAAAAUCGCCCGAGCCUGUGAUAAAAGUUUGUUUAGCUUUGAGCACAAUAAAUUGUUUUACAAUAUAAAGUACACAGAGUCCAUGUGCUGUGACCUUUGGGUCAUAUAAUUCACUUUUAUUUUUGCUUCCUUGUGAACAAAGUGUGGCGACUUCUACACAGCAACCCGGCACACAUUCAUUGUCAUACAGUGCACUACUCAAACUGUAAUGUUUCUUAAAAGGCCCUUAGACCACUCUUAACAUUUCAAGUGCACAUUGUACACAGGAUACUGUGCCACAAAUUUUUUAU
rnacentral:lncRNA from 1 species